GAUGAACGCUGGCGGCGUGCCUAAUACAUGCAAGUCGAGCGAACAGACGAGGAGCUUGCUCCUCUGACGUUAGCGGCGGACGGGUGAGUAACACGUGGAUAACCUACCUAUAAGACUGGGAUAACUUCGGGAAACCGGAGCUAAUACCGGAUAAUAUAUUUAACCGCAUGGUUCAAUAGUGAAAGACGGUUUUGCUGUCACUUAUAGAUGGAUCCGCGCCGCAUUAGCUAGUUGGUAAGGUAACGGCUUACCAAGGCAACGAUGCGUAGCCGACCUGAGAGGGUGAUCGGCCACACUGGAACUGGGACACGGUCCAGACUCCUACGGGAGGCAGCAGUAGGGAAUCUUCCGCAAUGGGCGAAAGCCUGACGGAGCAACGCCGCGUGAGUGAUGAAGGUCUUCGGAUCGUAAAACUCUGUUAUUAGGGAAGAACAAAUGUGUAAGUAACUAUGCACGUCUUGACGGUACCUAAUCAGAAAGCCACGGCUAACUACGUG
rnacentral:rRNA from 1 species